UUACGUGGAAUUGAUCUGAACAAUUUAAGCGUAUGAUUUUCAUCUUUUCAGGGCUGCGAAAGAGUUUACAGAUGUAACACAGAUCUCAUUUAAAUCUCUGAUCUCCAGGUGCAGACGCUGAAUAGUCUGUGCCAGAGCCCCAACAGCAUGUUUUCCUUUCCAGCAGAUUUUCCUUGGACCACUCUCAAACCGAGUCUCGUGGUUUUGUUUACACUGAAUGGAGAGUAUAGCAGCGGUGCCAUGGGGCCGUCUUUCAUUAAUAUACAGUGAGGAUUUUGUCUAAAUUACUGCUACGAAUUUCACAGUACACGCAUUUAAAGAUGUCUCAGGUGGACUGAUGAAACGCGAAUGUGCCGCCGAAAAGAGCUGCGUUAAAAAAAAACUUAAAGGUCAAUGACAAUGAUGGGAAAGACCUAAAAUGUAUUUUGUCUUUAAGAAAACAUCCAUAAAUUGUUUCCCCACCAAGAAAAAAGUAAAACAUCAGAGAGCAAUUUGUACUGAUUUACAUUUGCAUAAAUUUUCAUAUAUUUUGGUGAAAAUAAUAGACUAGCGAGAGUCGGGCUCAGUGAAGCCAGUAUAAGGGCACAUCCUUGCGAGGAUCGACCAGGAACAAUUCGGAGCGAGAGUAAAAAGCAAAGUCAGUAAUCCAAAUAUGCGAAACUUUUCUACACUAUUUACGAGUUGAAAGCGACAAUCCCAUUGUGUUGAGACCUAGGAACAACUCUGCAUCUGAUGCACCUGCCAUCCACUGCAGUUGCCCACAGAGAAAUGGCUUAUAUAGGCACCAAAAGUGAUGUAAGGCACUUCUUUGGCAAUAUGGAAAGUGUGAGAGGUGGAACUCUUCCAAUGCUGCAUUAUAAGCCAAUCAGUAGAACUUUGUGGGAACGGUAGAGAUUGACAUUCCUACAAGUUUCCUGAAU